rnacentral:lncRNA from 1 species
ACCAAUCUCAGAGGAAAAAUAUAUUUGAGAGUUAGAUAGAAAGAGUGAGGUUUCACAGACAGGGUAUAAGAAAAUAGUUUGUGAGAAAAAUAGAGAGUGAGCGAUAUUGUAGUGAGGUGAGAAUAUCAAAAGAGGGUUAUUUCUUUUGAGUGUUGUAGUAGUCUUUGGAGUAUUUUACUCAGACCUACAAAGUGUAAAAUUCCUUACUAUAGUAAUAUCAGUUGUUCCUCUCGGGGCCGUGGUUUUUUCCCUUAUUCAAAAGGGUUUUCCACGUUAAAAUUUUUGUGUUCUUGUUGUUCUUUUAUUCUUGUUGAUUACCGUAUCUCGGUGCUACGCUAUUAUUUCGCUUUUAUUACCGUGAAUAUUAUUUCUGUAGAGGGUUUAUUCCCAACAGUUAUACUUCGGGAUUGACUCAGUCUUGGUUGCUUUUAUGUAGGUGGUUUGAGAACACGAUGAGUACAUAUGAGGCAUCAAAGAGAACUUCCUCCCAUCUUCAAUUGGUUGUGUUGAACAGGUCAUUUAAUUCGGUGAGAAUUC